rnacentral:rRNA from 1 species
CCUACGGGUGGCAGCAGUGAGGAAUAUUGGUCAAUGGGCGCGAGCCUGAACCAGCCAAGUAGCGUGAAGGAUGACUGCCCUACGGGUUGUAAACUUCUUUUAUAAAGGAAUAAAGUGAUGCACGUGUGCCUUUUUGUAUGUACUUUAUGAAUAAGGAUCGGCUAACUCCGUGCCAGCAGCCGCGGUAAUACGGAGGAUCCGAGCGUUAUCCGGAUUUAUUGGGUUUAAAGGGAGCGUAGGCGGGUUGUUAAGUCAGUUGUGAAAGUUUGCGGCUCAACCGUAAAAUUGCAGUUGAUACUGGCAGCCUGGAGUACAGUAGAGGUAGGCGGAAUUCGUGGUGUAGCGGUGAAAUGCUUAGAUAUCACGAAGAACUCCGAUUGCGAAGGCAGCCCACUGGACUGUAACUGACGCUGAUGCUCGAAAGUGUGGGUAUCAAACAGGAUUAGAUACCCCUGUAGUC